UGAAGAGUUUGAUCAUGGCUCAGAUUGAACGCUGGCGGCAGGCCUAACACAUGCAAGUCGAACGGUAACAGGAAGCAGCUUGCUGCUUUGCUGACGAGUGGCGGACGGGUGAGUAAUGUCUGGGAAACUGCCUGAUGGAGGGGGAUAACUACUGGAAACGGUGGCUAAUACCGCAUAACGUCGCAAGACCAAAGAGGGGGACCUUCGGGCCUCUUGCCAUCAGAUGUGCCCAGAUGGGAUUAGCUUGUUGGUGAGGUAACGGCUCACCAAGGCGACGAUCCCUAGCUGGUCUGAGAGGAUGACCAGCCACACUGGAACUGAGACACGGUCCAGACUCCUACGGGAGGCAGCAGUGGGGAAUAUUGCACAAUGGGCGCAAGCCUGAUGCAGCCA
rnacentral:rRNA from 1 species